AUUUAUAUAGUUUAUAAAAACAUUACAUUUUCAUUGUAAAAUUAAAGAAAAAUCUUUUAUAAAUA
rnacentral:tRNA from 1 species